rnacentral:rRNA from 1 species
UACGUAGGGGGCAAGCGUUAUCCGGAUUUACUGGGUGUAAAGGGAGCGCAGACGGCAGUGCAAGUCUGGAGUGAAAGCCCGGGGCUCAACCCCGGGACUGCUUUGGAAACUGCAUAGCUGGAGUGCUGGAGAGGCAAGCGGAAUUCCUAGUGUAGCGGUGAAAUGCGUAGAUAUAUGGAAGAACACCAGUGGCGAAGGCGGCCGCCUGGCCUGUUACUGACGCUGAGGCACGAAAGCGUGGGGAGCAAAUAGG